rnacentral:rRNA from 1 species
UACGGAGGGUGCGAGCGUUGUCCGGAAUCACUGGGCGUAAAGGGCGCGUAGGCGGCCUGAUAAGUAGGGGGUGAAAUCCUGCGGCUUAACCGCAGGGCUGCCUUCUAAACUGUCAGGCUCGAGCACAGUAGAGGCAGGUGGAAUUCCCGGUGUAGCGGUGGAAUGCGUAGAGAUCCGGAAGAACACCAGUGGCGAAGGCGGUCUGCUGGGCAGUUGCUGACACUGAGGCGCGAAAGCGUGGGGAGCGAUCCGG